rnacentral:lncRNA from 1 species
ACAUAAAAAUAAAAUAAAGAUAUAAAGAUAUAUAUAUGAACUACAGUAGCUCAGUCAAGACCUCAUCCAAAACUCUAAUCUCCAUUCUGUUAUAUGUUAGGUUCUCCUGGCUUUUGUGAAGAUCUUGGAGAAGGGACUGUAUAGUUUGUUGGAUCCUACCUUCUAUUGUCUAUAAUUUACUCAGUUUGUGAUAUUUUAUUAUAGCAACAUAAAAUGGACUAAGACACACACUCAUGAUUCUCUGAUCUUCCCCCAUGACUGAAAAUGUCAUCAUGGGUCCCCUUUGCCUUUUGAACAAAGACAAACGUCUUAGCCUGGCAUAUAAGGCCCCCAAGAUUAGGCCCUUGCCUACCUGCCUAGUCAU